rnacentral:piRNA from 1 species
AUGAUCUCAGGACAGGUUUCUUG